rnacentral:rRNA from 1 species
GAUGAACGCUGGCGGCACGCCUAACACAUGCAAGUCGAACGGCAGCACGGAGAGUAGCAAUACUUUUGGGUGGCGAGUGGCGGACGGGUGAGUAACGCGUAGGAAUCUACCCUAGAGAUGAGGAUAACUUGGGGAAACUCAAGCUAAUACUGAAUACGCCCUUAGGGGUAAAGGUUGCGCAAGCAGCCGCUUUAGGAUGAGCCUGCGUUAGAUUAGCUAGUUGGUGGGGUAAAGGCCUACCAAGGCGACGAUCUAUAGCUGUUCUGAGAGGAAGAUCAGCCACACUGGGACUGAGACACGGCCCAGACUCCUACGGGAGGCAGCAGUGGGGAAUCUUGGACAAUGGGGGCAACCCUGAUCCAGCGAUGCCGCGUGUGUGAAGAAGGCCUUAGGGUUGUAAAGCACUUUAAUGAGGGAGGAGUAGGGUUCGUUGAAUAGGCGGAUCUGAGGACGUUACCUCAAGAAUAAGCACCGGCUAACUCUGUGCCAG